GGGUACAUGGUCUAAUGGCAAAGGCGCCCACUCUUACGAAAGUGAGAGUGACGCUGGACUAGACGGUAACGUCUAGCACAGCGGAAGGAGAUGCGGGUUCGAGUCUCGCUGUAUCCA